CGCUUCAACCACUGAUUUUACCGGCCGAACUCCGCGGUUCAACCUUAGAUCAACUAUUGUAAUACGGGCCCUAACACUUUCGCUUUCAUUUCUAAUCUUGUCGUCCACUUGAGUUUCAGCGGAGUUUGUUGGUUCUAUUGCGGUUCCUGUAAUGUUCGUCGUCGAGGACGAAAUUCACGUUGGUGGCACAUGUUUUUCAAUAUUGUUUUUUGGAUGUCAUUUCUCAAUUUGUCGACAUUCGUGUUCGUGUUGUACAUAUUGUGUCACUGGUCUAUGUGUCAUUUGUAAACCGCGCUGAGAUGUAAGUGGUGUUUGCGGUGGGAUCACACCAGUAUAUUUUUAUUAUUGUAUUACAUCUUACGAAUUGUGUCCACACACACUAUCACUCAUUUGGUUGCUUAUCACUAGUGUGGAAAAAACUUUCGGUGCUAUCGACAGACAUAUACAACAUUAUUGUAAAUUAUCUCAAAUCCCGUGUACCAUUAUUGUCAUCGCCUCCUAAACUACCCGUAAUCCGGCACCUGAGGUCAAACAAUCAGCGUAAGUCCGCCAGCACCCUUAAGGGGUUGUGUGAGAGGCCGCUAAGAUCAUCGAGGGAAUCCACCAGCAUCAGUCGGGCAUUGAGUUUAAUUCUGCGUAAGUCCGCCAACAACCUAAGGAGGGUGUGUAAAGGACCGCACAAGUUCUCAUAAGUACGGCGAUUGAACACACCAUCGCAUAUAUCUUAGAUUUAAGUAGAUUAAGAUAA